rnacentral:miRNA from 1 species
UAGGUUUCACAGGAAACUGGUU